rnacentral:rRNA from 1 species
UACGAAGGGUGCAAGCGUUAAUCGGAAUUACUGGGCGUAAAGCGUGCGUAGGCGGUUUCUUAAGUCUGCUGUGAAAUCCCCGGGCUCAACCUGGGAAUGGCAGUGGAUACUGGGAGGCUAGAGUGUGUCAGAGGAUGGUGGAAUUCCCGGUGUAGCGGUGAAAUGCGCAGAGAUCGGGAGGAACAUCAGUGGCGAAGGCGGCCAUCUGGGACAACACUGACGCUGAGGCACGAAAGCGUGGGGAGCAAACAGG